rnacentral:rRNA from 1 species
AUACGUAGGGUGCGAGCGUUAAUCGGAAUUACUGGGCGUAAAGCGUGCGCAGGCGGUUUUGUAAGUCAGAUGUGAAAUCCCCGGGCUUAACCUGGGAACUGCGUUUGAAACUGCAAGGCUAGAGUGUGGCAGAGGGGGGUGGAAUUCCGCGUGUAGCAGUGAAAUGCGUAGAGAUGUGGAGGAACACCGAUGGCGAAGGCAGCCCCCUGGGUCAACACUGACGCUCAAACACGAAAGCAUGGGGAGCAAACAGGAUUAGAAACCCCAGUAGUCC